AAUAGUCCAUAGAAUAGUCAGUUUAGGAGGAUGAAUGAUUGAUUCAGUUAUUAAUAGCAGUUAUUAUAGGAUUACGAUUAGAAUCUCGAAAUUAGUAGCAAUUAUACAAGAAUUGUAGAAGUUUGUUGGGAGACCAAACUGUGAUAGUCAUGAUCCGGGAUUAAGCUUGGUGCUUCUUCUUUGUUUCUUUUGUUUUCUUUAUUGUUGAAGAAUAAUGGAUAAUUUUUGAAUACUGAGAAGUGAAUCUGUGGAAUAAAUCAGAGAUUGAUUUAUGAGUUAUUGAUUAUGUAAUUAGAAUAUUGAGUGAUUGAAUUAUAUGAGAAGUUAUUGGAAGAUUGAUUAUGAAUGAAAAAUUAUGAUUGUUGUUUAUUGAGAGUUGUGUAUGUGUGUUUUGACAGAGGAAGUCUGUGAUUAUAGGAAUUCUAUGAAUUUAGAUUGGUUGGAGUAAAGUCUGUUAUUCCUAGUAUUGGAUAGAAUUUAAUGAGUUUUGAGCAGUCUUUUGAGACUGCAGGCUUACACAUUGUGGUUAUUGGUUGAUGAAGGAGUAUUCUUAUUGAGAGGAAGAAUUGUUGUGUUUCUUAGUGUUUUAGUGGUUCAAAAUACACUUAAUUGUGUGACCCUAACAAAUAAAAUUCAUGCGCUUAGUCUUUCCUUGUGUUUGAAUUCCCCUAUAUAUGUUUAUUCUGAAAGAAAUUAUAGAAUAAGUAAAACGACAAUCACAUAUAUCAUUCCCACUCUAUAAUAGUACCCUGCAAAAAUCUAUAAACUCUUCAUUAACCUUUGGUAAUAAAUCACUUUGUAAAUAAUCUUGAUU
rnacentral:lncRNA from 1 species